rnacentral:SRP_RNA from 1 species
CCGUGCUAGGUGGGGAGGUAGCGGUUCCCUGUACUCGAACCCUGUACUCGAAAUCCGCUUUAUGCGAGACUUAAUUCCUUUGUUGAGGGCGUAUUUUUGUGAAGUCUGCCCGAAGCACGUAGUGUUUGAAGAUUUCGGUCCUAUGCAAUAUGAACCCAUGAACCAUGUCAGGUCCUGACGGAAGCAGCAUUAAGUGGAUCCUCAUAUGUGCCGUAGGGUAGCCGAGAUUUAGCUGUCGACUUCGGUAACGUUUAUGAUAUGCGUUCGAUACAAAGGUGCAUGG